CGAACGGGUGAGUAAUGCGUGACCAACCUGCCCCAUGCUCCAGAAUAGCUCUUGGAAACGGGUGGUAAUGCUGGAUGCUCCAACUUGACGCAUGUCUUGUUGGGAAAGUGUUUAGUGGCAUGGGAUGGGGUCGCGUCCUAUCAGCUUGUAGGCGGGGUAAUGGCCCACCUAGGCUUCGACGGGUAGCCGGCCUGACGAGGGCGGACGGCCACAUUGGGACUGAGAUACGGCCCAGACUCCUACGGGAGGCAGCAGGA
rnacentral:rRNA from 1 species